ACCUGGCUGGCUUAGUUGGCAGAGUAUGUGACUCUUGAUCUCAGGGUAGUGAGUUCAAGCCCCACCUUGGGUG
rfam:Ailuropoda melanoleuca scaffold74_81, whole genome shotgun sequence.